ACACUCCUGCGGGAGGCAGCAGUGGGGAAUUUUGGACAAUGGGCGAAAGCCUGAUCCAGCAAUGCCGCGUGAGUGAAGAAGGCCUUCGGGUUGUAAAGCUCUUUUGUCAGGGAAGAAACGGUGAGAGCUAAUAUCUCUUGCUAAUGACGGUACCUGAAGAAUAAGCACCGGCUAACUACGUGCCAGCAGCCGCGGUAAUACGUAGGGUGCAAGCGUUAAUCGGAAUUACUGGGCGUAAAGCGUGCGCAGGCGGUUUUGUAAGUCUGAUGUGAAAUCCCCGGGCUCAACCUGGGAAUUGCAUUGGAGACUGCAAGGCUAGAAUCUGGCAGAGGGGGGUAGAAUUCCACGUGUAGCAGUGAAAUGCGUAGAUAUGUGGAGGAACACCGAUGGCGAAGGCAGCCCCCUGGGUCAAGAUUGACGCUCAUGCACGAAAGCGUGGGGAGCAAACAGGAUUAGAUACCCCGGUAGUCCCAUGAU
rnacentral:rRNA from 1 species